CGUGUAUCCUAUCAACCAAUCAGAAAUAGCGCGGGCGAAAUGAAAAAAGAAAAAAACGCGAUUGGAAAUGGAUGGUUAAUAAAAUUCAGAAUAUUGCAAAACAAGGAAAGUGUACAGCGUGUUUAAAUCUUUCAGAAAUGCAGCUGUGCCCUCUUUACAGCAAUUAUAGAUGAAGCAAAAUAUGGUAGCAAGUAAUAUAGAUAUACACACAUGCCGAAGAAGAUUGCAAUAUCUGGAGAAAACAUUUCCUACGUCACGAAAUAGACACCGUCACACUGGUCUACGUAUCAUUCCUAUAGAUGAUAUAUUUAAGUGCUUUUAAGAACAGUGUUUGAAUGACGAAUUUCUGAGAAUACAGAUUUUUAAUUUUAAUGAUUAUUAUUAAAACUUUCUGUAAUUAUCAAUUUGUGCUAUGAACUCAUUUUCCUAAAAUAAUAUGUGAAUGUUAACACGAACAAAUGAUAUGAAUAUCUUUAAAAUGUUUUAUGGGUGUAAUAUAAGUGCCUCAUAUGAAUCAUUGUUAAGAUAAAUCGAAAAGAACUUCAAGUUAGCAUAGUUUGUCCUAGAUUUAAACAACAUGCAAUUCAUAAAGGUUACGGCUUGAAAAUAUCGAAAAAUGUACAUGUAUAAUUCGAUCUCUGAAGAAAAUAUCGCGGUGCGGAUGUUCUGCACUGUGAUACGUAUUUCAUGACUCUGUAUCGCAACAUACCGGUAUAUCGCCUUUCCGUUGCAACGCUACAUUAAUGUGUCCCUCUGGGAUAAAGCUUACAACAAUAUAUGACUAUUGUAACGAAAUAAUAGAGAAGACAUGUUUAUUUUGUUAUAUAUAUGUAUACAUAUUGAAUAUAUGUUUAUGAAAUAAUAAAUAUUUAAGAGUGACUCGAUUUGGUUUUUACUUUACUAUUUGAAAUACACCAAUUUUGAAGAUAAAGUUCUAAAGCAUAUGACUACAAUUCCCAUUCACAAUGUGUAAUCAAACAUGUUCUAUUGUACAAGCCUGCAUUUCGGUCAUGUAUACGUGUCACUUAUAUGUAAAUGCAUGCUUUUGAUAGUAUCUGUACCUUCUUUUAUCUCGAAAAUACAGUUCUGUAUACCCUGUGUACAACUAAAAAAUGCAAUUCCGUAUAUCCCCUGUAUAUAUUGAAAAUACGAUUCCGUAUAUCCCCUGUAUAUGUAGAAAAUACGAUUCCGUAUAUCUUCUGUAUAUGUAGAAAAUACGAUUCCGUAUAUCAUCUGUAUAUGUGGAAAAUACGAUUCCGUAUAUCAUCUGUAUAUGUGGAAUAUACGGUUCCGUAUAUCCUUUGUAUACGUAGAAAAUACGAGUCCGUAUAUCCUCUGUAUACGUAGAAAAUACGGUCCCGUAUAUCCUUUGUAAAUUUAUAGUAUACUAGGGAUAAAAACCUUGAUAAAGUCCGUAUACGGGAUUUUAUUCUCCGUAUA